CACAACUGUUUUGUCCAAUGAAAGAGUUGCACUGCUUUCAAUUGGCUGUGAUGAUAUAGAAAAAAAAUAAUAAUGGAGUUUUGUUGAAUGCGAGACUUUUCUUGUUUACUAACGUGGGUUGGUUCAAUUAGUAUGAGCGUGCUUGUGGUUGAGCUACAAUCUAAAUUCAAUCUCUGCUGCCAGCAGUCUUACGUUGGGUCGCGCAAUCUGUAAAUCUUCUGAGGAAAUUCAUAGUUGGGGGCUAUGGUGACAGAUUUACAAGGUUCAAUUGCUUAAAGGAAUGUAAUUCUCUGCUCUGCAUCAUGUCUUCUUUAUUGGCAUGUUGGUUAGCUAUCAAAUGCUACUGGUUUAUCAGGCAACCAGAAUGAAGAAUUUUUUCUUCCAGCAGAAGUGAUAAUAGAGCAGGGGAAUGUUGUAGAUCACCUAUAUGUUAUAUGCCAUGGUGCACUGGAAAAGCUGGGGGGUGACGAUGAUGACAAUGACGAGCUUCUUGAGCGUUUGCAAACCUAUAGCUCAUUUGGCGAGGUUUCUUUUCUUUGUAACAUUCCCCAGCCAUAUGCUGUUCGGGUUUGGUCAACUAUGUAGGGUCUUACAAUUUGUUACAGUCCUUUUAGAGAAAUCCUGGAGAUAUAUUUCUUAGAUGGCCGGCUUAUCUUUGGAUAACCUGCUUGAGGAAUAUAUACUCGGAAAUUGUGGUAGUCUUCAUUUUCUUACUUCCACCCAUGAUCCAAAGAGAUAAUGUAAUUGGCUUUGCUUCUCAACUCACAGGGAAAAAACUUAAACACCCGGAAUAAGCUUUUGAAAUCAGAUAUCACUCUAUACACCGGAAAGCGUGAAAUGGAGUUAGUUAUGAAAGUAAAUUGUGCUGCCUAUGAUGGACAUUUUUAUCGAGUAAAACGUUUGAUUGGAGCUGGAGUAGAUCCAAAGAAGGUUGAUUAAGCUGGAAGGUCCCUCUUGCAUGUUGCUGCAUUAAAAGGGUACAAGGAUAUUACUCGUUUUCUUAUCGAAAAAGGGGGAGACGUCAAGAUAUCAGAUAUGGGAACACCACAUUGCUUGAAGCCAUAAAAAAAUGGGCAUGAUCGAUCAAUUUGCUUCUUAACUUGUUUGGGCAUGCAGGGGCAUCACUUACUAUAUUGAAGAUGCUGGUGAUUAAUUUUCCCUGCGCUACCGUAGCAAGGAGGGAUUUGGACCUUCGUGAAAAGGCUUUUAGCCAAUGAUAUAAACCCAAAUGUUAAAAACUACGAUCAGAGAUCACCACUGCAUGUGUAGCUGCUUCAGAAGGGUUAUAUUCAAUGGCAGAGUUCCUAUUAGAAGCAGGAGCACAAGUGUUCUAUCAAAGGACAGAUUGGGCGAAACUCCACUUGAUGAAGCCCGCAUAGGUGGAAAUAAGAAGCUAAUGCAAUUGCUCGAGUAUCUACAAGACUUUCUCAGUUGUCAGAGUUCUCUGAUGGUUCUCAAUUAGUCAAUUAGGUGUGUAACCAUAGUAGACUGCUAAACUUAUCUUCUGCUCACCUGUUGAUGUGUAUCAUCUGUGAUCCAAUAUAAACUGAUCAAGAAAUGAUAUAUAGUAGUAAAAUUCUAGAUAGUGAUCCAUUAAUCAUUAGCACAAGUAUUGCUUGUUUGUAGCUAGUUCUCUAGUCGCGAAAUUUGAAAAACUCAUGUCGAAUCCAUUAUUAAAUCAGGAACUAAUU